UACGAAGGGUGCAAACGUUGCUCGGAAUCAUUGGGCGUAAAGCGCACGUAGGCGGCUUCGCAAGUCGGAUGUGAAAUCCCUCGGCUCAACCGAGGACGUGCAUCCGAAACUGCGAGGCUUGAGUACAGAAGAGGAUCGCGGAAUUCCCGGUGUAGAGGUGAAAUUCGUAGAUAUCGGGAGGAACACCAGUGGCGAAGGCGGCGAUCUGGGCUGAUACUGACGCUGAGGUGCGAAAGCGUGGGGAGCAAAC
rnacentral:rRNA from 1 species